rnacentral:rRNA from 1 species
GAGACAGCAGCCGCCGCGGGAAUACGGAGGGUGCAAGCGUUAAUCGGAAUUACUGGGCGUAAAGCGCACGCAGGCGGUCUGACAAGUCAGAUGUGAAAUCCCCGGGCUUAACCUGGGAACUGCAUUUGAAACUGUCAGGCUGGAGUCUUGUAGAGGGGGGUGGAAUUCCAGGUGUAGCGGUGAAAUGCGUAGAGAUCUGGAGGAAUACCGGUGGCGAAGGCGGCCCCCUGGACAAAGACUGACGCUCAGGUGCGAAAGCGUGGGGAGCAAACAGGAUUAGAUACCCUGUAGUCCCUGUCUCUUAUACA